GGGUGAGGAGCUCAGUCAGUUGAGCGUAGCGUUAACAACGCCAAGGUCGCGGGUUCGAUUCCUGUUUGGUCCC
rnacentral:tRNA from 1 species